UCUCCUUAUUCUCUUCUUCUCCUCCUCUUCUGGCGUGAGCUGCUCCGCGGGAAAGACAGAUUGUAAGUGAUUACCAUGAUGGAUCUAACCCAUUUCAGCUGUAAGAUCUUCCCAAGGCAAUACACCUUCAGGAAGAAAUACAUCUCUCUCCGCAUUGCGACUAUAAAUAGCCUAGGUUAUUGUUGUAGACAUAACCGUGAAGUGAAUUUGAAGUGGAUGUGCCUAGGCUCGGAAUCAUGCCAUAGCGCAGGAUACUCUCAGGGAGAAUGAACACCUGAUUAAGUCCAACUCAACAACAGAAAGCAGGCUACAAAAUAACAGUCAGCGUUAGGGUUCUUGGCCGUCUGGUCGCAGACGGGGAAACAGACGUGAUGAUGGUCGGCUGCACCAUCCACUGCAAAUCUGGACUCGUGGAGAUCGCAGUUACUGUGGGGACAAAUGGGGCCGCAGGCGCCUCACCAUCCGGCCCUGGGCCCUGCAUUCAGUGUAGCAGUGUAGCUACUCAUUAAUCAUAGGUAAAAUAGCUCCCCGGCAGGAGAUGCAGAACUGCAGCGUGACACAGACUCCACACUGGCUUUGCUAAGGAUCAUUUCUCCACGCUGGCACGCUUCCAG